rnacentral:tRNA from 1 species
GGGGAUUUGGCUCAAUGGUAGAGCGCUUGCCUAGCAAGCACAAGGUCCUGGGUUCGGUCCCCAGCUCCA